rnacentral:tRNA from 1 species
GCCUUAGUGGUAUAAUUGUAAACAUGCUCGACGCGUAUUCGACUGGUUCGGGGUUCGAGUCCCGACGAGGGCA